AGUGAACGCUGGCGGUAGGCCUAACACAUGCAAGUCGAACGGCAGCACAGUAAGAGCUUGCUCUUACGGGUGGCGAGUGGCGGACGGGUGAGGUAUACAUCGGAAUCUACUUUUUCGUGGGGGAUAACGUAGGGAAACUUACGCUAAUACCGCAUACGACCUACCGGUGAAAGCAGUGGAUCUUCGGACCUUGCGCGAUUGAAUGAGCCGAUGUCGGCUUAGCUAGUUGGCGGGGUAAAGGCCCACCAAGGCGACGAUCCGUAGCUGGUCUGAGAGGAUGAUCAGCCACACUGGAACUGAGACACGGUCCAGACUCCUACGGGAGGCAGCAGUGGGGAAUAUUGGACAAUGGGCGCAAGCCUGAUCCAGCCAUACCGCGUGGGUGAAGAAGGCCUUCGGGUUGUAAAGCCCUUUUGUUGGGAAAGAAAAGCAGCAGGUUAAUACCCCGCUGUUCUGACGGUACCCAAAGAAUAAGCACCGGCUAACUUCGUG
rnacentral:rRNA from 1 species